rnacentral:rRNA from 1 species
CCUACGGGAGGCUGCAGUGGGGAAUAUUGGACAAUGGGGGGAACCCUGAUCCAGCCAUGCCGCGUGUGUGAAGAAGGCCCUCGGGUUGUAAAGCACUUUCAGUGAGGAAGAACGCCUGGUGGUUAAUACCCAUCAGGAAAGACAUCACUCACAGAAGAAGCACCGGCUAACUCCGUGCCAGCAGCCGCGGUAAUACGGAGGGUGCGAGCGUUAAUCGGAAUUACUGGGCGUAAAGCGCGCGUAGGUGGCUUGAUAAGCCGGUUGUGAAAGCCCCGGGCUCAACCUGGGAACGGCAUCCGGAACUGUCAAGCUAGAGUGCAGGAGAGGAAGGUAGAAUUCCCGGGUUAGCGGUGAAAGGCGAAGAGUUCGGGAGGAAUACCAGUGGCGAAGGCGGCCUUCUGGACUGACACUGACACUGAGGUGCGAAAGCGUGGGUAGCAAACAGGAUUAGAUACCCCGGUAGUC